rnacentral:rRNA from 1 species
UACGGAGGGUGCAAGCGUUAAUCGGAAUUACUGGGCGUAAAGCGUACGUAGGCGGAUUGUUAAGUGAGGGGUGAAAUCCCGAGGCUCAACCUCGGAACUGCCUUUCAUACUGGCAAUCUUGAGUCCGGGAGAGGUGAGUGGAACUCCUAGUGUAGAGGUGAAAUUCGUAGAUAUUAGGAAGAACACCAGUGGCGAAGGCGGCUCACUGGCCCGGAACUGACGCUGAGGUACGAAAGCGUGGGGAGCAAACAGG